UCGGGAAUAUUGCGCAAUGGAGGAAACUCUGACGCAGUGACGCCGCGUAUAGGAAGAAGGUUUUCGGAUUGUAAACUAUUGUCGUUAGGGAAGAUAAAAGACAGUACCUAAGGAGGAAGCUCCGGCUAACUACGUGCCAGCAGCCGCGGUAAUACGUAGGGAGCAAGCGUUAUCCGGAUUUAUUGGGUGUAAAGGGUGCGUAGACGGGAAAUUAAGUUAGUUGUGAAAUCCCUCGGCUUAACUGAGGAACUGCAACUAAAACUGGUUUUCUUGAGUGCGGGAGAGGAAAGUGGAAUUCCUAGUGUAGCGGUGAAAUGCGUAGAUAUUAGGAGGAACACCAGUGGCGAAGGCGACUUUCUGGACCGUAACUGACGUUGAGGCACGAAAGUGUGGGGAGCAAACAGG
rnacentral:rRNA from 2 species